UCUGGGUCCGUCGGUGCCUCCCCUUAACCCAGGAGACCUGGAAGGCCCCCUCGGCACAGGCUGGGCUCCCGGGCCCUGCGCGGCCAGGCUCGGGUGGGGCUGUGCUUCAGAGGAUGAACCAUCCCGCCCUCAGACAUCUCGGCCUAGGCAUCUCCCGAGGGAGGCUGGGUCGAAGUUCCAGCGACCCCACGCGGGGAGGGAUGGAAGGUCUGUUCACUGCCCGCGGACACAGACUGCGCCGCCGAAUUAAAACGAUCCAGAAACCUCCUCCUCCUGCCUUCCCUACUUCACAGCCUGGGAACCAGGUCCAGAGAAAGGCCCGAUCCUGGCCGCCUGCCUCUGGGGUCUCACUUCCAAGGCUCAGCGGGUCGGCCGCGGGGUGACAUCGGGCCAGCCGUCUACCUCCUCAGGGCUCCGUUGAUGAAUGAACCACGGGUUCACCUGCGUGUCUCUCGGGAGUGCGUCUUCCUGUGGACCAAGGGCAGAAUUGUUCCCCUAGGAGACAAUUUCCACCCUUGCCUACCAAGAGGCACAAAACAAAUUCAGAAGUUGAAGGAGGAGCAGAAAAAAGAAAAUAACAAACACAAAAACACCUAAAAAUUCAACCACGGCUGUGACCUUGUUUGGACUAAUUAUUCCUGCCUGUCCAGCUCCGUGUUCGUGUCCUGGGAGUGUUCUGGGAUCUGAUGAGGAAGCCAUCGUUUCGCCUGUCUGCUGACCAGGGCAGGCUUUGUGGGGGAGGAGGGCUAUCAGAAGCCGGAAGUGGGGGGCGGGGGCAGGCUGCCUGAGGGGGUAGAAAGCAGCGACCUGGAUCUCUCUUUCCCAUUUCCCAUCCUGCCAGAAACCAGAGCCCCUCUGGAGUUGGCCUUGGUCUCACCAGUGCAGGCUUGAAGAGGGGGCCACAGCUACCCCCUGCUCCCUGUUUCCCCGUGUCCUCCUCCAUGCAUUCCUCCCCGGUGUACUCUGCUCUGACGUCUCCCCUCUUGGAUCCCUGGGCCCUGUCCCCAGUGUCUGACCUGAGUCCCCCCACCCUUCCGGAUGUCAGGAAUUACAGGAGUGCAGAAGAGAGAGAGGCAGAAGCACUUGCCAGCCCCCGUGACAAGAGGCACGGAAGGAAAGACUCUGCCAUUACUCAUGUGGAGCCUGCCUGGCAUCCUGGCUGUCUGCCUCAUCCCUGCGAAAGAUCUAGUGGCAGGCUGAAAAUCUAUGGUGGCUUUAAAGCAGUGAUGAGAAUAAAUGACAUUUUGAGGCUCCACCAAUGGGAGUGGAAGAUGAAAAUAUCUGGGAUUUCUGUUGGUGACAAAGUCAGAACUCCUGCUGAUACCACUCACUGCGUUUUCUUGCCUGCUUUCACAGUGGAAGGAAAUGUGAAACUUCAGCCUGAUGCAGGAGUGCCAGCUGUCAGGCACUCUGGCUGGAAGCCACUGCUCUCUUUAGCUGGAUUGGGGUCACCUGCUCUGAGGUUUGGUGGCCCAGAUGUCUUAGAGACUCAGGUACCUCACCUUUCGGUACCGUCUCAGGAAGCGGAGCUAUAGCUGAGAGAUCCAGGCAGCCCCAGGACUGAAGAGCAGUUACUUUCUGGAAGUUGCAAGGUAUCCACACUUGGGGGAUGGCCAGGGGCUUUCAGGCCCCAGGAAGCCACCAGGGGGUUUCGGGCAGGCUUAGCCCCUCAGCUCCCAUUCUGUGGAGGCAGGGGACAGAGCUGUGGGGGAUGCUUGGGGAGCCGACAGAUGGCAGACUUGUUUAAGCCAAGAGGCAGUCUGGAAGGACAGCCCCAAGGGCUGCCCACGUCCAGGGAGGCUGAAGCUCAGAGAGGACAGCACAGGUCCCCGGUCACAGUACAGGGCGGGGCUGGGCUGGAACGUGGGCUCUCCUCCCACUCUGUGGCCUCUCUGGAGGCCCAGGGGCCCAGGCAUACCCACAAGCCCCUGACUCCCACUGGCAGGCUCUCCCUGCUGGCUGUUGAAGUUCUGAGUAAUGGGAGCUGUCACAGAGCCUCGCUGCCCUGGAGGAUGGCCGAGCCCUUGCUACGAGGUGGCUAGGCCCCUCAGCCCCUGAAACAGUCCGUCUCCUGCCCUGGUGCUGUGUCGCAGUGUGGCGACAGGUGGGAGUGUCACCAGCUCGCGUCCUCUCCUGGCUGUUGGCUGAGGCCCAGAGCAUCUGCCCCAGACAAAGGGCACACAUUCCCUCUCGGUGGGUGUGCUGGCCAGCACCACCCACUUUCCACCCACACAAAGCCUGAAGUUGCAUAACUGUCUUUCCUGGGAGCCAGAGGGAACUGGCUGGCAGCAGCAGAGCCAUUUAGGUGUGCCACAAGGACCUGGAGGUCCCAGGGGCGUGGGCUCCGGAAAUCAACUGCAGCGGAGGACACCCACCAGACCCCGUGCCCAGGCGGGAUACCCGCCUCAGCUGCUGUAAAUGCGGUCCUGAGGGUUCUCAGCUUCCUCCUUCUCUGGAGAAUUGCCUUCCACCAAUGGGGGCCACAUCACUCAUGGGGUUACAUCUCCCACCCCUGGGGCUGUUCAGGGCCAAAGGCCAAAAGACGCUGGCAUUAAGGCAUCCUUGCUGCGAAGCGGGGCGGACUGUGGUAGAAUUCCUCCUCCAGAGCUGCCAUGGGGUCAGGCUGAGCUCCCUCCGGCUGACCUGUCCACCUGUGUGACCAUCCUUCUGGCCCCUCUUGUGGCCACUGGUUGUCUUCUCCUGAGUCCCUCCCUCAGCGGAUCCCAUCUCAGGCUCGGCUUCAAGGGACUCUGGCCCAACUCUGACCGAUACGAAACUUCUCACCCAUCUUAGCAGUUGAGUUUGAGUCAGAAAACUAUUAAGUGUGAAUUAAAAAAAUAAUUAUGAAAUUGCCACCACUCAUAUGUCUUGGAGUGAUUUAUGGCUGCAUUGGCAGGCUGUAGGGGGCUGACAAAGGAACUUCCCAGCCCUAGGAGGGUCUGGCCAGUAUGG